rnacentral:piRNA from 1 species
CAAGAAGAGCUUCGGAGAAUGGA